GACGAACGCUGGCGGCGUGCUUAACACAUGCAAGUCGAACGAAGUGGCGAACGGGUGAGUAACGCGUAAUCAACCUGCCCUUCAGAGGGGGACAACAGUUGGAAACGACUGCUAAUACAGAAUACUGAAGGAGGGGAUUGCGUCUGAUUAGCUAGUGGGAGGGAGAACGGCCCCCCAAGGCGAGGAUCAGUAGCCGGGUUGAGAGGAGGAACUGCCACAUGGGGACUGAGACACGGCCCAGACUCCUACGGGAGGCAGCAGGGGGGAAUCGUCCGCAAUGGACGAAAGUCUGACGGAGCAACGCCGCGUGAGUGAGGACGGCCUUCGGGUUUUAAAGCUCUGUUAAUCGGGACGCGGUACCGGAAUAGAAAGCCACGGCUAACUACGUGCCAGCAGCCGCGGUAAUUC
rnacentral:rRNA from 1 species